rnacentral:ncRNA from 1 species
AAAAAGUUUUAUUUAAGCUUAGGAUUUUAGUGUAUUUUUUUUUUACAUACAUAGGUUAAAAAUGUUUAGAAAACUUAUUUGUAGUAUUUAGUCUUAUUUAUUCGAGUAAUCGUGAUUUAGAAAUUGAUUUUAGUUUUAAUAAAAUUUGUGCCAGCAAUUGCGGUUAAACAAAUGAUGCAAUUAAAAUUUUUUGGUAAGUAAUUAAUUUAUAUUUAAAAAUUUAUUAUUAAAUUAUUUGGGUGAAAUUUUUUUUUUAAUAUAAGUUUAUUAAUUGAUUAUGAAGUUACUAAAGUUUUUUUUAAACUAGGAUUAGAUACCCUAUUAUUUUUAUUGUAAGUUCUUUAUACCUGAUUAUUAAUAGAUUAUUUUCUUGAAAAUUAAAGAUUUUGGCGGUAUUUUAGUCCAUUCAGAGGAACCUGUCCUGUAAUUGAUAGCCCACGAUUUAAUUUACUUUCUUUUUGUUUGUAUACCGUCGUGGUUUGAAUAUUUUAGCAGAAUUAUUAAUAUUCAGAUAGUAUUAUUUUAGAUUAUGUCAGAUCAAGGUGCAGCUUAUAGGAAAGAAGAGAUGGGUUACAAUAAAAUUAUUUUUGGUUUUUAUUCUUUAAUGAAUGAAAUAAAUUGGAUUUGAAUGUAAUAUUUUUUAAUUAAUAGAUGUGAUUUUGGCUCUAAAAUAUGCACAUAUUGCCCGUCGCUCUCACUUAAGGUGAGAUAAGUCGUAACAAAGUAGGUGUACUGGAAAGUGUACCUAGAAAGAU